rnacentral:rRNA from 1 species
GUGGGGAAUAUUGGGCAAUGGGCGAAAGCCUGACCCAGCAACGCCGCGUGAAGGAAGAAGGUCUUCGGAUCGUAAACUUCUAUCCUUGGUGAAGAUAAUGACGGUAGCCGAGAAGGAAGCCCCGGCUAACUACGUGCCAGCAGCCGCGGUAAUACGUAGGGGGCAAGCGUUGUCCGGAAUGAUUGGGCGUAAAGGGCGCGUAGGCGGCCUGGUAAGUCUGGAGUGAAAGUCCUGCUUUUAAGGUGGGAAUUGCUUUGGAUACUGUCGGGCUUGAGUGCAGGAGAGGUAAGUGGAAUUCCCGGUGUAGCGGUGAAAUGCGUAGAGAUCGGGAGGAACACCAGUGGCGAAGGCGACUUACUGGACUGUAACUGACGCUGAGGCGCGAAAGUGUGAGGAGCAAACAGGAUUAGAUACCCGAGUAGUCC